rnacentral:rRNA from 1 species
GACGAACGCUGGCGGCGUGCUUAACACAUGCAAGUCGAACGGUAAGGCCCUUCGGGGUACACGAGUGGCGAACGGGUGAGUAACACGUGGGUGAUCUGCCCGACACUUCGGGAUAAGCCGGGGAAACUGGGGCUAAUACCGGAUAGGACCACUGCCUGCAUGGGGGGUGUGGGAAAGCUUUUGCGGGGUGGGAUGGGCCCGCGGCCUAUCAGCGUGUUGGUGGGGUGCUGGCCGACCAAGGAGACGACGGGUAGCCGGCCUGAGAGGGUGACCGGGCACACUGGGAAUGAGAUACGGCCCAGACUCCUACGGGAGGCAGCAGUGGGGAAUAUUGCACAAUGGGCGCAAGCCUGAUGCAGCGACGCCGCGUGAGGGAUGACGGCCUUCGGGUUGUAAACCUCUUUCAGCACCGACGAAGCGCAAGUGACGGUAGGUGCAGAAGAAGGACCGGCCAACUACGUGCCAGCAGCCGCCGUAA